UGAAGAUGAACGUGCUAACGCUGUGAGGC
rnacentral:piRNA from 1 species